CCGUCAAUUCCUUUGAGUUUUAGUCUUGCGACCGUACUUCCCAGGCGGAGUACUUAAUGCGUUAGCUGCGGCACUGCAGGGGUCAAUACCCGCAACACCUAGUACUCAUCGUUUACGGCGUGGACUACCAGGGUAUCUAAUCCUGUUUGCUCCCCACGCUUUCGCGUCUCAGCGUCAAUAUCGGUCCAGGUAGCCGCCUUCGCCACCGGUGUUCCUCCUAAUAUCUACGGAUUUCACUCCUACACUAGGAAUUCCACUACCCUCUCCCGUAUUCAAGUCUGACAGUUUCCAAUGCACUUCCCAGGUUGAGCCCGGGGCUUUCACAUCAGACUUACCAAACCGCCUACACGCGCUUUACGCCCAAUAAUUCCGAACAACGCUCGCACCCUCCGUAUUACCGCGGCUGCUGGCACGGAGUUAGCCGGUGCUUCCUUUGAGGGUACCGUCAAGCAAAGAUGAUAUUAGCACCCCUGCAUUUCUUCCCCUCUGACAGAGCUUUACGACCCGAAGGCCUUCAUCACUCACGCGGCGUUGCUGCGUCAGGGUUUCCCCCAUUGCGC
rnacentral:rRNA from 1 species